rnacentral:rRNA from 1 species
GGGUUGUGAGGUUAAGCGACUAAGCGUACACGGUGGAUGCCCUGGCAGUCAGAGGCGAUGAAGGACGUGCUAAUCUGCGAUAAGCGUCGGUAAGGUGAUAUGAACCGUUAUAACCGGCGAUUUCCGAAUGGGGAAACCCAGUGUGUUUCGACACACUAUCAUUAACUGAAUCCAUAGGUUAAUGAGGCGAACCGGGGGAACUGAAACAUCUAAGUACCCCGAGGAAAAGAAAUCAACCGAGAUUCCCCCAGUAGCGGCGAGCGAACGGGGAGCAGCCCAGAGCCUGAAUCAGUGUGUGUGUUAGUGGAAGCGUCUGGAAAGGCGCGCGAUACAGGGUGACAGCCCCGUACACAAAAAUGCACAUGCUGUGAGCUCGAUGAGUAGGGCGGGACACGUGGUAUCCUGUCUGAAUAUGGGGGGACCAUCCUCCAAGGCUAAAUACUCCUGACUGACCGAUAGUGAACCAGUACCGUGAGGGAAAGGCGAAAAGAACCCCGGCGAGGGGAGUGAAAAAGAACCUGAAACCGUGUACGUACAAGCAGUGGGAGCACGCUUAGGCGUGUGACUGCGUACCUUUUGUAUAAUGGGUCAGCGACUUAUAUUCUGUAGCAAGGUUAACCGAAUAGGGGAGCCGAAGGGAAACCGAGUCUUAACUGGGCGUUAAGUUGCAGGGUAUAGACCCGAAACCCGGUGAUCUAGCCAUGGGCAGGUUGAAGGUUGGGUAACACUAACUGGAGGACCGAACCGACUAAUGUUGAAAAAUUAGCGGAUGACUUGUGGCUGGGGGUGAAAGGCCAAUCAAACCGGGAGAUAGCUGGUUCUCCCCGAAAGCUAUUUAGGUAGCGCCUCGUGAAUUCAUCUCCGGGGGUAGAGCACUGUUUCGGCAAGGGGGUCAUCCCGACUUACCAACCCGAUGCAAACUGCGAAUACCGGAGAAUGUUAUCACGGGAGACACACGGCGGGUGCUAACGUCCGUCGUGAAGAGGGAAACAACCCAGACCGCCAGCUAAGGUCCCAAAGUCAUGGUUAAGUGGGAAACGAUGUGGGAAGGCCCAGACAGCCAGGAUGUUGGCUUAGAAGCAGCCAUCAUUUAAAGAAAGCGUAAUAGCUCACUGGUCGAGUCGGCCUGCGCGGAAGAUGUAACGGGGCUAAACCAUGCACCGAAGCUGCGGCAGCGACGCUUAUGCGUUGUUGGGUAGGGGAGCGUUCUGUAAGCCUGCGAAGGUGUGCUGUGAGGCAUGCUGGAGGUAUCAGAAGUGCGAAUGCUGACAUAAGUAACGAUAAAGCGGGUGAAAAGCCCGCUCGCCGGAAGACCAAGGGUUCCUGUCCAACGUUAAUCGGGGCAGGGUGAGUCGACCCCUAAGGCGAGGCCGAAAGGCGUAGUCGAUGGGAAACAGGUUAAUAUUCCUGUACUUGGUGUUACUGCGAAGGGGGGACGGAGAAGGCUAUGUUGGCCGGGCGACGGUUGUCCCGGUUUAAGCGUGUAGGCUGGUUUUCCAGGCAAAUCCGGAAAAUCAAGGCUGAGGCGUGAUGACGAGGCACUACGGUGCUGAAGCAACAAAUGCCCUGCUUCCAGGAAAAGCCUCUAAGCAUCAGGUAACAUCAAAUCGUACCCCAAACCGACACAGGUGGUCAGGUAGAGAAUACCAAGGCGCUUGAGAGAACUCGGGUGAAGGAACUAGGCAAAAUGGUGCCGUAACUUCGGGAGAAGGCACGCUGAUACGUAGGUGAAGUCCCUCGCGGAUGGAGCUGAAAUCAGUCGAAGAUACCAGCUGGCUGCAACUGUUUAUUAAAAACACAGCACUGUGCAAACACGAAAGUGGACGUAUACGGUGUGACGCCUGCCCGGUGCCGGAAGGUUAAUUGAUGGGGUCAGCGCAAGCGAAGCUCUUGAUCGAAGCCCCGGUAAACGGCGGCCGUAACUAUAACGGUCCUAAGGUAGCGAAAUUCCUUGUCGGGUAAGUUCCGACCUGCACGAAUGGCGUAAUGAUGGCCAGGCUGUCUCCACCCGAGACUCAGUGAAAUUGAACUCGCUGUGAAGAUGCAGUGUACCCGCGGCAAGACGGAAAGACCCCGUGAACCUUUACUAUAGCUUGACACUGAACAUUGAGCCUUGAUGUGUAGGAUAGGUGGGAGGCUUUGAAGUGUGGACGCCAGUCUGCAUGGAGCCGACCUUGAAAUACCACCCUUUAAUGUUUGAUGUUCUAACGUUGACCCGUGAUCCGGGUUGCGGACAGUGUCUGGUGGGUAGUUUGACUGGGGCGGUCUCCUCCUAAAGAGUAACGGAGGAGCACGAAGGUUGGCUAAUCCUGGUCGGACAUCAGGAGGUUAGUGCAAUGGCAUAAGCCAGCUUGACUGCGAGCGUGACGGCGCGAGCAGGUGCGAAAGCAGGUCAUAGUGAUCCGGUGGUUCUGAAUGGAAGGGCCAUCGCUCAACGGAUAAAAGGUACUCCGGGGAUAACAGGCUGAUACCGCCCAAGAGUUCAUAUCGACGGCGGUGUUUGGCACCUCGAUGUCGGCUCAUCACAUCCUGGGGCUGAAGUAGGUCCCAAGGGUAUGGCUGUUCGCCAUUUAAAGUGGUACGCGAGCUGGGUUUAGAACGUCGUGAGACAGUUCGGUCCCUAUCUGCCGUGGGCGCUGGAGAACUGAGGGGGGCUGCUCCUAGUACGAGAGGACCGGAGUGGACGCAUCACUGGUGUUCGGGUUGUCAUGCCAAUGGCACUGCCCGGUAGCUAAAUGCGGAAGAGAUAAGUGCUGAAAGCAUCUAAGCACGAAACUUGCCCCGAGAUGAGUUCUCCCUGACUCCUUGAGAGUCCUGAAGGAACGUUGAAGACGACGACGUUGAUAGGCCGGGUGUGUAAGCGCAGCGAUGCGUUGAGCUAACCGGUACUAAUGAACCGUGAGGCUUAACCUUACAACGCCGAAG